ensembl:piRNA 21ur-2567 ncRNA
ACUGAUUCCAUUUGAUUGAAA